rnacentral:rRNA from 1 species
CCCUUAGAUGUUCUGGGCCGCACGCGCGCUACACUGAUGCAUUCAACGAGUCUAAAACCUGCUCUGAUAGGGGUGGGUAAUCUUUUGAAUGUGCGUCGUGAUUGGGAUAGAUGAUUGCAAUUUUUCAUCUUCAACGAGGAAUGCCUAGUAAACGCAAGUCAUCAGCUUGCAUUGAUUACGUCCCUGCCCUUUGUACACACCGCCCGUCGCUCCUACCGAUUGAAUGCUCAGGUGAGCCAUUCGGACUUUCAUCAUGCUGGUUUCCAGUUUUGAUGAAGGAAAGUCUUGCGAACCUUAUCAUUUAGAGGAAGGAGAAGUCGUAACA